rnacentral:rRNA from 1 species
AGCCUAGCGCUAAGGCUUAAUGUGGUUGUCGCAAGGCAAUCAAUGUAAAAACAUUAAGCGGUGCAGCGUUACAAACCUUGGUGUUUAGUAGUGUCGAUGUAGUAUAUAGCCGGGCAACUGGUUGUAUGCUGCUUUCGGCCUAGCGUACAAGUCCCAUUGACUUGGGCUUAUUCUUAAUUGAGAUGUCUGCGGGUUUGGGGCAACUUAGAUCCGUGGAUGAGCCAAAGAGGGUGAAAGUCCCUUAAUGCGCAGGUAUUGAUGCUACGAAUCAGGGCAGUGGCGUCUGGUAAAACAGGCGUUGCGAUUUGUUAGAGUCGGGUUGCUUGAGAGUGCAACCUAAAGAGCGAGGUAAACUGCUCGUAAGGCUAUGUAAAUACGGCUACGACACCGAUAGCAAACAAGUACCGUGAGGGAAAGUUGCAAAGUACUUUGAAGAGAGAGUUAAACAGGGCGUGAAACCGCUAGCUGGUAAACGAGUGGAGCCACGAAGUCGUUUCGUAGAAUACGAGAUGCGAAUUCAGCUAAGGUCCGCAAAGGCCUUAACGUAUUUUUGCUUGUCUCGCUAUUGUAAGCGUACACUGCAACCAAUUAGACGGCUAAACGUGGAACUAGUGUGCAAGUAAACAGGGAAACUUGUUGCUUGUGGACGCCAAAAUUUGUGUAUUUACUGUAGGUAGCUUGGUUGAGAUCUUGUAUUUCUUCUGGGUGUAUGACAUUCGUAAAUGCGUGAACUACGUUUGGGUACUGAUUGGCAAAAUGAAAAUCGAAUCGUAAGGUUCGUGCAUUCAUAGAAUGCAACUAGCAUCGUAUUUGAGUACAGCUGCAUGCUGUUUGUAUAAGCUUGAUAUUUUUGAAUUCAGGCACGUAUAUUGUCAAUGGGGCUUGCUUUGUUGAUAUAUGCGCUGUUUCCUGUCUAAUCGGGUAUUAACUUUGCAGGCAGUUUAUUGUAGUUGCUGCGAUAGCAUUGAAUACGAUAGUUAGUUUGCGAGUAUUGGCAGUGAGUAGGUCGGCUUUCCACACGACCCGUCUUGAAACACGGACCAAGGAGUCUAGUUAAGUAUCGAGUCGAUCGGUCUUGAUUAGGCCAGACAUUGAGAGUUGUAAAAAACGUCUCAAAAAUAAAUAUAAAUGACGGCAAAGUGAAAUCAAAUUAUAUGUGAUCUGAAGUCUAUAAAAAUGGCUUACAGCGCAACAUAUGCCCAUUCGUAUGGUUAUACGCGCAAGUGUUAACCGGGUGGAGCAAAGAGAUACUUGACUGGUACCCGAAAGAUGGUGAACUAUUCCUGGCCAGAUUGAAGCCAGAGGAAACUCUGGUGGAGGAUUGUAGCGAUUCUGACGUGCAAAUCGAUCGUCAGAGCUGGGUAUAGGGGCGAAAGACUAAUCGAACCAUCUAGUAGCUGGUUCCCUCCGAAGUUUCCCUCAGGAUAGCAAGCUCUCGCAGAAAUGUGAAUCAGUUUCAUCUGGUAAAGCGAAUGAUUAGAGGCCUUGGGAGCGAAACGCUCUCAACCUAUUCUCAAACUUUAAAUGGGUGAGAUGUACGACGUACUUAACUGACGCCGUAUUCAUACAGAAUGUAUUGAGAGCUUAGUGGGCCAUUUUUGGUAAGCAGAACUGGCGAUGCGGGAUGAACCGAAAGUGAAGUUAAGGUUGCCGAUAAUGGUGCUAACAAUUUGUGCACUAGCUACACUCAUGAGAUCCCAUGAAAGGUGUAAGUUGCUAAAGACAGCAAGGACGUGGCCAUGGAAGUCGGAAACAUCUAAGGAGUGUGUAACAACUCACUUGCCGAAGCAACUUGCCCUGAAAAUGGAAGCAGCUCGAGUGUUGAACCUAUACUUCACCGUUGAAUUAUUGUUCGUAUCAAAUGCGAUUAGCUAUGAUUCAACGUGUAGGAGGGUUGUGUUGGUAGCGUUGAAGGCUAUGAGGGAGUGAUCCUGGCUGGAGCUGCCAAUAGUACAGAUCUUGGUGGUAGUAGCAAAUACUCAAGUGAGACCCUUGAGGGCCAAUGUGGAGAAGGGUUCCAUGCUAACAGCAAUUGGACAUGGGUCAGUCGGUCCUAAGAGAAUGGCGAAAGCUAUUUCUGAAUCAAAGGCAGUGUAAUCCAAACACAGUAAAUACUGUUUGCCGUAAAUCAAAAUUAUAUAUCUAAAAUAGUUAUUCUCAAUAUAUAUAUAGUAUUAAUAAUUGAUACUGUUUGUGUAUGUAAUGUGUGUGUGUGUGUUAUAUAUAUAUAUAACACCGUUUAUAUUAAUGUGCUUCGCGCAUAUAAAGCCGAACAUAAACACACACAAACGCGUUCAAAUACGAAAGUAACUGUGCGCGAUUGUGUGUUUGUAAGCCAGCAAGCAUCAGCAAUAUAUGCGUAUAUAUGCACAUAUCAAAAAAUAUACAAACACCAAAAGAGUUGGUAAUAUAUAUAAUAAUGAUAUUGUGAAUGCAAAAAAUAUUUUAUGUAUAAAAAAAAUAUGAAUGGCAAAUAAGUGUGCAAUGAACACUGCAUGAC